GAUGAGCGCUAGCUGGAGGCUUAAUACAUGCAAGUCGAGCGGGAUUGGGUAGCAAUACCCAUGAGAGCGGCGCACGGGUGAGUAACGCGUACACGACCUACCUCUAACAGGGGGAUAGCCCUGGGAAACUGGGAUUAAUACCGCAUAUAAUUCUGAAUAAUAAAGGUUUGGAAUGAAAGCUGAGGCGGUUAGAGAUGGGUGUGCGUCUGAUUAGCUAGUUGGUAGGGUAACGGCCUACCAAGGCGAUGAUCAGUAGGGGGCGUGAGAGCGUGGUCCCCCACACGGGUACUGGGACACGGACCCGACUCCUACGGGAGGCAGCAGUAAGGAAUAUUGGUCAAUGGGCGAAAGCCUGAACCAGCCAUCCAGCGUGCAGGAAGAAGGCCCUAUGGGUUGUAAACUGCUUUUAUCAGGGAAGAAACCUCUGGAUUUACUCCGGAGCUGACGGUACCUGAAGAAUAAGCACCGGCUAACUCCGUGCCAGCAGCCGCAGUAAGAC
rnacentral:rRNA from 1 species